rnacentral:rRNA from 1 species
GAUGAACGCUGGCGGCGUGCCUAAUACAUGCAAGUCGAGCGAACAGACGAGGAGCUUGCUCCUCUGACGUUAGCGGCGGACGGGUGAGUAACACGUGGAUAACCUACCUAUAAGACUGGGAUAACUUCGGGAAACCGGAGCUAAUACCGGAUAAUAUAUUGAACCGCAUGGUUCAAUAGUGAAAGACGGUUUUGCUGUCACUUAUAGAUGGAUCCGCGCCGCAUUAGCUAGUUGGUAAGGUAACGGCUUACCAAGGCAACGAUGCGUAGCCGACCUGAGAGGGUGAUCGGCCACACUGGAACUGAGACACGGUCCAGACUCCUACGGGAGGCAGCAGUAGGGAAUCUUCCGCAAUGGGCGAAAGCCUGACGGAGCAACGCCGCGUGAGUGAUGAAGGUCUUCGGAUCGUAAAACUCUGUUAUUAGGGAAGAACAAAUGUGUAAGUAACUAUGCACGUCUUGACGGUACCUAAUCAGAAAGCCACGGCUAACUACGUA